AACUUUCAACAACGGAUCUCUUGGUUCUGGCAUCGAUGAAGAACGCAGCGAAAUGCGAUAAGUAAUGUGAAUUGCAGAAUUCAGUGAAUCAUCGAAUCUUUGAACGCACAUUGCGGCCGGCAGUAAUCUGCCGGGCAUGCCUGUCCGAGCGUCAUUU
rnacentral:rRNA from 1 species